rnacentral:lncRNA from 1 species
AGAUCUAUGACAACCUAAUUUAGCAUAUCUCUAGUCGAGGGGCAAUCCACAAACCGACCUCUACUUUUCAAUGGAUCCAACUAUAUCUAUUGAAAAGCUUGAAUGAGAAUUUUUAUCCAAGUACUUGACUAUGAUAUGUGGAGUAUCAUAGUAAAUGGACCUCACACACCCACUAAAGUGAUUGAUGGUGUGUCUCUCCCUA